GCUUAAUCAAUUAUCAAAGAAAAAUAAAAAUGAAGAGCUCUAUGCAGUUUAUCUCUACACUCUUCUUCCUAAUCGUACUUGUUGUCGGACCAGGAGAGAUGAAGAUGGUUGUAGGACAACCCCAACUGUGUGAAGCCGAAAGCAUCAACUUCAUCGGAUUUUGCUCAAAAUGGAGGACUAGGUCUAUUUUGAACAAUAGUAUUUGAGCUCCUCCUUCCGCCGCCCUUGAAGACAGCCUAGAUCCGCUUCGUUUAUUGCCUCUCCGGUCACCGGCGCUCCUCGCCGUGUCCGUGAGAGGGCUCCCAAGGUUCCCUUUAUGCAGCUGACUUUUUUCCGGUAGGCGAUCUGACGAGAUUAGGUUUCAGAGAUUGAUGGCGAUUUUAACGGUGGCUCCGAUUUGUGGAGAAUUGGCCUCGGCUUGUCUCGAAUCUUCUGUGAAUCUUGGCGAUUACUCCCUCCCGGUGCUUUCACCCCCUUCGGUUUGUUUGAGGACGACAAUCUGAGUUUGUGUGAGGCUCCUUAAGGUGUUUCUCGGCGGUUCUUCUUAAGCUCCAUUAGAGAUGGAGCUUCUGCUUGUCCAGUUUCAAGCAGCGGUAAGAUUCUUCAGAGGCAAGUGGUGGGUAGUUGCUUGGUAUUACAACGGUAGCUUCUCCGGCAUGCGGCGGCUCUCCUCUCGUGGUGGCGUAAGAGAUUAGCGCUCUCUUCCUCUCCGUGUUUGCCUUCUGUCUUCACUCCGUUCACCUUCUCUCCCGCCCCGUGAUUAAAUGUCGUUUGUUUCCCUGGCUCAUUGCAUACUCUGGUAUGCUCGGAGUCUCUGUCUUGUGUGUUGUUGUUUUAGGUGUGGAUUUUAGUGCUGAGGCGUCAGCCACCAGUGACUCUGAUCUUCCUUUUUGUUUAUACCGGGGGCGUUUGGUCAUCAAAUGGUAGUCUUGUGUUGUGUUUUGUUGUUAGAGUCGUCUUCUCUAACUAAUUGCAAGCUACCUAACAUCAACUCCCAAGCCAAAGGUGUUUAUCAGAAAAGGUGGACUGGUGUUCGUCCGAGACUUGUCUUGCUCUUGUAGGAUUUUGUGAGUUUCGUCUAGGAUGGAGAUGAGGGCUACGCUUGACAAUGGGUUUGGGUCUGCCCAACGUCGCUGCCCAUGCCAUUUCCGUGCAAAUCCAUGGCAUGUCGCACUUGUAUCCUUGAUGUUGCGUUUGAGUUUACUGCCCCUCGUGUCACUUUUGCCCAAGCCUUUAGCUCAGCCGCAGCAGAUUAGUGUUUUAGUGGGAAGCCUUGAUGACUUUACUUGAAGUGUCUGUUUUUGCCCUAAGCACUUGGUGGUGUUAGUAUGGCUCUUUGUGGUUAAGAUGUUGCCAGGCUCUGAGCUACCGACUCCUAGAGGGACUCGCUAGAGUGAGUGAGCAUUGCCUAACACAUUAAGCUUGGCAAUUCCGCAGCUCCUUGCUAAGCUCGGAUUACCGGUGAAAGGACUACCAUCUUGCUUUAUGGGUGACUCGUGAUCUUUAUUGUUCUGUUUUCUUGUUGAUUCUUUUUCUAGCUCACUAUAGGGAUUCUUCUUAUCUUGUUCCAAAUCGUCUUCUUUAACGAGAAUUGAUGAUUC